rnacentral:rRNA from 1 species
UACGAAGGGGGCUAGCGUUGCUCGGAAUUACUGGACGUAAAGCGCACGUAGGCGGUCUUUUAAGUCGGGGGUGAAAUCCUGGAGCUCAACUCCAGAACUGCCUUCGAUACUGGAAGACUUGAGUCCGGGAGAGGUGAGUGGAACUGCGAGUGUAGAGGUGAAAUUCGUAGAUAUUCGCAAGAACACCAAUGGCGAAGGCAGCUUGCUGGGCCACACCUGACACUAAGGCACGAAAGCGUGGGGAGCGAACAGG